AGGAUUUUAGUUAAAAAAAAACAUUUGAUUUGCAUUCAAAAAAUACUAAUUAUUUAGUAUAUCUUA
rnacentral:tRNA from 2 species